rnacentral:rRNA from 1 species
AGUCGAGCGAACAGACGAGGAGCUUGCUCCUCUGACGUUAGCGGCGGACGGGUGAGUAACACGUGGAUAACCUACCUAUAAGACUGGGAUAACUUCGGGAAACCGGAGCUAAUACCGGAUAAUAUAUUGAACCGCAUGGUUCAAUAGUGAAAGACGGUUUUGCUGUCACUUAUAGAUGGAUCCGCGCCGCAUUAGCUAGUUGGUAAGGUAACGGCUUACCAAGGCAACGAUGCGUAGCCGACCUGAGAGGGUGAUCGGCCACACUGGAACUGAGACACGGUCCAGACUCCUACGGGAGGCAGCAGUAGGGAAUCUUCCGCAAUGGGCGAAAGCCUGACGGAGCAACGCCGCGUGAGUGAUGAAGGUCUUCGGAUCGUAAAACUCUGUUAUUAGGGAAGAACAUAUGUGUAAGUAACUGUGCACAUCUUGACGGUACCUAAUCAGAAAGCCACGGCUAACUACGUGCCAGCAGCCGCGGUAAUACGUAGGUGGCAAGCGUUAUCCGGAAUUAUUGGGCGUAAAGCGCGCGUAGGCGGUUUUUUAAGUCUGAUGUGAAAGCCCACGGCUCAACCGUGGAGGGUCAUUGGAAACUGGAAAACUUGAGUGCAGAAGAGGAAAGUGGAAUUCCAUGUGUAGCGGUGAAAUGCGCAGAGAUAUGGAGGAACACCAGUGGCGAAGGCGACUUUCUGGUCUGUAACUGACGCUGAUGUGCGAAAGCGU